AAAGCGACUCUCGGCAACGGAUAUCUCGGCUCUCGCAUCGAUGAAGAACGUAGCGAAAUGCGAUACUUGGUGUGAAUUGCAGAAUCCCGUGAACCAUCGAGUCUUUGAACGCAAGUUGCGCCCCAAGCCGUUAGGCCGAGGGCACGCCUGCCUGGGUGUCAC
rnacentral:rRNA from 1 species